GUGGGGUUCUGCAGGGAGUGGUUUCCUUCUCCUUCACAGGGUGGCAGGCUGAUGGGAUCCAGCUGUUGCUCAUCACCACCAAUCUGCAAGGUCCUUAAAGGGGAGCGGCUUCCCAGAGUCAGAUGCCAGAUGGUUCCGCUUCUACAGUGGUACUCUCUAGCUGUCAGUGCUGUAUUCCCAGUGUCCUCCUUGUUCUGACUCCUUUUCGUCUGCUCCUUCCUCUACAGUGAACCCGAGCUGAACACUCUCUGAACCGGACCCACCUGAAGAAUCGGAUCCCAGCUGCUCUGUUUGGCCUUGCACCUGGGUGCGUCACGCCCGCCACUCAGCUGCUGCCUGUCCGCCCUCAAUCGCCUGCUGGAACUUCCCCCAUCUGGAAAACAACCACGCCUACUGUUGGACCCCCAUGUACUCUCCUCUGCUUACCUCAACCCGCAGCCCUUCCUCCGCUGGCCCGGUUCCUCCCUGCUGCCGCAGAUCGACACCCCUCCACACACUCUCCAGCACAUUCAGUUACUAAAUAAAUCUGUUAAAACUG